UGGGAUAAUAAGUGUUUGUAUUCUCCCCGAAACUGUAUUCUCUCAUUUGUCACCUAAUAUCUGGUUAAUUAUAUAUAAAUUUAAUUCUUUCAUUUUCUUUGAGGGUAUAUACUAGGUCACUAUUAUACCUUUGGAAUUUAUAUUUAUUAAAAAACAAAAAAAAAAUGGUGUUUAGUGGAAGCACUGCUUCACCUUGACACCUUAUGCAUCAUGUCAUUUGCUUGAAUAUGGAAACUAUAUAUACAUACCACCACUAUGGCCGGCCGCUUUUUAGUGUAGCUAUGGAUCUAUAUGUAU
rnacentral:lncRNA from 1 species